rnacentral:rRNA from 1 species
UACGUAGGGGGCAAGCGUUGUCCGGAUUUAUUGGGCGUAAAGAGCGUGUAGGCGGCUGGGUAGGUCCGCUGUGAAAACUCGAGGCUUAACCUCGAGACGUCGGUGGAAACCAUCGAGCUAGAGUCCGGAAGAGGAGAGUGGAAUUCCUGGUGUAGCGGUGAAAUGCGCAGAUAUCAGGAAGAACACCCGUGGCGAAAGCGGCUCUCUGGGACGGUACUGACGCUGAGACGCGAAAGCGUGGGUAGCAAACAGG